rnacentral:rRNA from 1 species
UACGUAGGGCGCAAGCGUUGUCCGGAAUUAUUGGGCGUAAAGAGCUCGUAGGCGGCUUGUCACGUCGGAUGUGAAAGCCCGAGGCUUAACCUCGGGUCUGCAUUCGAUACGGGCUAGCUAGAGUGUGGUAGGGGAGAUCGGAAUUCCUGGUGUAGCGGUGAAAUGCGCAGAUAUCAGGAGGAACACCGGUGGCGAAGGCGGGUCUCUGGGCCGUAACUGACGCUGAGGAGCGAAAGCGUGGGGAGCGAACAGG